CGGUGGAGCAACGGACUCCAGCGCAGAGUGCGAGCUGGGCUGGGACGUGAUGAGCCCAGUGGAGGGAAGAGAUGGGGAUAGGAGGCUUCUCCUUUUCUGCCUGGGACGAGGCUGGUGUGGACCCUGCUCUGAAGGAGGAAUUUCAGUCCUGCUUGUGAACACCUAACAAACAUUUAUCCUUUGUUGUGGGACAGUUACAUUGUGGGACAGGGUGGGAGUUUAGUGAGCAUAGAACAUUGUGUUUUAUAUGGGUUUUUUUUUUAUAUUGGGUUUGUUUAUUCCUGGGGAUUUUGACAACAUUUUAUUGCUUGUUUUUAGAAUUGUUUGUCAUUCUUACUCCCUGGUUUGGACAUAAUCUGUUUCUGAUCAGAACUACAUCAUCUUUGUGCCCUGGGUUUCUGACUGGCGCACUCUCCCCUUGUAUCGAAAGAAUGGCAUCACGUUUGACUGGUGCCACUCGCCAAAAUAAUUUGUGUCAAAAGCUGAUUGUCAAUGAAGGAAAAAAUAAGUAGCUGUAGUUAAAUGUAAGUCAAAAGAAGCUAAAUUGAAAACACUUAAAAACAGUUGUGUGCCUAAUUACUCUGGCUGUGUUAUCUGUCAUGUUUAAGCAUGCAUAUAUUUAAUAUCAACUGCUUAUAGCUUUACAUCCAGUUUUACACAGACAGUCAGAUAAUUUAGUUGUGGUGAAAAUACAAUAUUUAAAGGUAUAUGAUUUAUUCAUUGCAUUUUUUCUUCAAGGGCUUUAAUUACCUGAUGCAUGCUUAAACAUCAAGGUAAGUAAAUCCCAAAUGCACUGUUUGGGAAAACCUGCAGUCACUUGAGACUGAAGAAGUCACUUGGAUGAGUGACAAAACGCUUGUCCCACUAAAAAAACUACUCCCAGAUGAACACAAUCAACCGUUUGGGCUAUAGUUACAAAUUUGUACAUUAUUUUCUUCUUUUUCUAUGCUGAGUUUUCAGUUCUCUGUGUCAUAUCAAAGUGUUUUAGUAUUUGGUUUAAAUACCUUAUGAAAAGGAAAAAAGAUACGGUCUCUGACAUCUUCAGUAUUCUGAUUAUUUUUUAAAAACUAUAAACUACAUUCACUCCUACAGGACAAAGCCAAGUGCCCCAAAGAGAGAGUGGCUCUUUCUGCUGCCACACAUCGGUCUCGGGACAGGAAAAAGAAGGUUGGUGAAUCUCCAGCACAGACUAGGAAGAUGCAGCAGAAGCCAAAAAGCCCCACUACCAACAGAGUCUUGAAGCCAAGCCAAGGACAAACGGUUUGUGCCCCAGGACAGCUUAACCGUCAGGGGCAAGUCUGUACUGGUACACAUUGUAAAACACCUUUAUAACACAACCAUUUCCUGAAGUCAUUUUCUAGAUAAUCAUUCUUUCUCAGCGCAUUGCCCACCAAGCUUUAAACUGUUUCUUCUAUAAUUAAUUAUAAUUCUAACAUCAUUUGUCACAUAUUCACAUAAAAUGUCACAUAAAAGUAGCAAUUUUCAGGCACAACCUUGUUUCGACGUAUAAACAAGGAUCUCUGUUUUCACUCUGGCAUACUGUUGUAUUAAUGUAGCUUCACACGAUCACAGAUGCACAGCAGGCAUUCAGUGUGGACUUUGUUUCAGAAAUGACUGAAGAGAAAGAAAUUGAUGAGACCAAGAAACAAUAUAAGACAUUUUCAUAAAAUAGUAUUUCUGUAAUAUUGUGUGAAGUGAUGCGUUUACUGCAGCACCACGCUGAUUUCAUAUUUGUGCACUUGUAGCAUUCAGUGUUGAGUUUUUUCUCCCACAUUGCUGUGUGUGUCGUUUAAAGGAUGUUUGACUUAAUUUAAAAUGUCAGAUUGUUUUUUUCUUCAAUUUCCAGAAUAUAUUCUGAAAUUAUUUAAAUUUUCAUGGAAUUUAAUUCAUGAUACAGUUAAACUGGGUCAACUUACGGCAUAAGUCUAUAUAUGAGCUUCUUUUCUGUUGUUUGCGUUACCGAUGUUUCAUGACCCAUUAAACAUGUUUAACAUGGUAUCAAACAAGGAUCCUACUUAGAUAUUUAAAUCUGGCGUAUGAUAAGGUAAUAAAGCCACAUAUGAACAGUGGUCAUGUUUAUUUCUCAAAAAUCUCUAAAAAUCAUUUACUGUAUUUAUACAUGCUUUUUUUUUUUUU